ensembl:lncRNA
CUCCUGGAAGCAGGAUGCAGUCUCCCUGCCCUUUCGUCUGAUGCAGACUUCUGUGCAGCACGAGCCCUGCCCUUCUCACCGGACACACAGCCUCAUCUCUGUAGGGGUGCAGCUACCAGCCAGGCUUUGGACUAGAAGGCAUGACACAGUGAAGAGACAGAUAGAGAAAGCCACAUAGAUGAGACGAUGGGCCCAGGAGAAGAAAGGAGCUGGGAAAGAAAAGUUCCGUUCGGUCUGGACAUCUGUAACAGAGAAGUAUAACCUUUGGGGUUGUUAAUGUACACACAAGCCUGUGGGAAGGCGGACGUGGUUUGAGAGGUGUUAAAACCCAUUUACGCUUUUAGACAUUAGACCACCUGCUACACAGAAGUCUCCUGAGGGAAUAGGCUGAGGACAGCUCAGUUUUGAUGAGAAGAGUAAAGAUCAAAGCAUAGAAGUUAUUUGGAUGGGAUUUCAGAUCUAUGAGUUCAGAUCUAAGGAGAGAGCCCUUAAUGUUAAAGAGGUUCCAGCAUGAGGAUCUGGAGUUCCUGUGGAAAACUGGGAAGGAAGAGUGGAGAGGCAAUAAAAACAGAGGUGGGGACUCAGAAAGACAGAUGAAGAACAAACUUUGCUUGUUUUUCACGCUUGGAGAAUCACGAUUUAAUUUUGGAAAGAGCAUCUGGCUCCCAUUCAUUUUCUUGCCAAUAUAACAUGCCUUGUAUUUGCCAUCUUUCAGGGAUGAUCAUUCAAAUGCCACCCCAUAGGAAUUUCAUCAGGCAUACCCUUCAGAGGUAUGAAAUGUGGCUAUUUCAGGGUAUACCUAACUACUGUAAUUAAAAUAUCAUAAUAUGCAAGUAGGUAAACACACAGAUCAAUAACAGUAAGCCAGAAGUUCCAAAGUAUUUGGACCUAUUCCGUUUAGCCCUAGGGCAAGUCACCUGACCUCUUUACCCGAGUUUUCCUAUAGUUAAAACAAGGCAAAUCAAUUCUUUCCUACUGUGUUUCAUAGGAGUAUACAUUGGAUACAUUUUAAAGAACUAUGUUGGAGUUCAAUAUUAUAACGCUGAACAUAUGGAAACUUCCUAGAUGAACUUCAAAAUAUUCCAUUAUUUUUGUUGAAAAAAAUGUAAAAUUCCACUUCAAUUACAGUUCCUUUGUACUAUCUCCCUCACAAUGUUAUCAUUGUACAUAUUCUGAAAUUAACAGACGCACUUCCUGCUGAAGCACAGAUAGCAGGGUUGUAGACGCUAGAAAGAACAAAGGCCUAAAGACAAAAGACUUUUUCCUCCCAGAAGUAAGAAAAUUCAGCUUGAAGGAUUGGCAAACAGCCAAUACACCAUUCAGCACACCCGUACAUUAUCUGGUCUCCUCCACAAGCCAAGGAAAUCAUGAGACCUGCCUUCUGGAGAUUCAUCUGUUUCCUUUCAUAUUCCGCACUGAUGUCUCUCUCUUCAUAAAGUACUUUCAGAACUUCAGUUUCCAGGUUACAUGCAAUAUUAAGAUCAAUAGAUUCACAGGUUUGAAUUGCUUUUCUUCAUUCUCAUGAUUCUUUUCAUAAAACACAAAGAAUGUCCAACUAAUUCAAACAACCAAAUAACGUACAGAUAGAGCUUCCACAGUGCCAUCGUGGAAGACUUUUGUCCUCCUUCUUGUUAAGCUACAUCCAUUAGGAUCAUCAAAAGAAGGUAAACUUCUCAAAGAAAAUGACAGAUAAUUAAUCUCCCAGGACAAAGAGAAUGGAGAACAAUUGAAAUAGCAUCUCUUCUCAUUUUCAGUUAUAACAGGCUUUAGUUUUGAGAUCCAACACUACUGAGUGGAGUGAAAAUCAUGAGACCCUUUAAGAGGAAAAAGAAAGUAAUACAACCUACGGUAUAAUUUUGUUCCAGUUUAUAAUCACUGAGAUUUUAACCGUCUUUCAUAGAUUUCAUAGUACCUAAUAUAAAGUUGGGUAUAUGAUAUGUAUUUAAUACUUACGAAAAUUUAGAUUCAGACAAAUUUAUCGUGAAAUGCUUUCCCUAAAAAAUACAGUUCUGGGGCUGGCCUGGGGGUGUAGUGGUUAAGUUCGAGUGCUCUGCUUCGGUGGCCCUGGGUUCACAGGUCUGGAUCCCGUGUGUGGACCUAGUACCACUCCUCAAGCCACGCUGCGGCAGCCUCCUACAUAAAAGAGAGAAAGACUGGCACAGAUGUUAGCUUAGUGACAAUCUUCCUCCAGAAAAAAGAAGAAGAUUGGCAACAGAUGUUAGCUUAGAGUAAGUCUUCCUCACAUAUACACACAAAAAAUACACCUUUACGUAAUUUUAAUAAGACUCAACAUUUUUUGAAGCUCCCUCAAGAUCAAAUAGUUUUACUUAUUUUUUUUCCCCAUUUCUUUUUUUUGGGGGCGGGGGGGAAGCUUAGCCCAGAGCUAACUACUGCCAAUCCUCCUCUUUUUGCUGAGGAAGACUGGCCCUGAGCUAACAUCCAUGCCCAUCUUCCUCUACUUUAUACGUGGGACGCUUACCACAGCAUGGCU